rnacentral:rRNA from 1 species
GAACGCUAGCGGCAGGCCUAAUACAUGCAAGUCGAACGGGUUCAAGUAGCAAUACUUGGAUCAGUGGCGCACGGGUGCGUAACGCGUAUGCAACCUACCUUAAACUGGGGGAUAGCCUUCCGAAAGGAAGAUUAAUACCGCAUAAGAUCACGAGAGGGCAUCUGAUUGUGAUUAAAGAUUUAUUGGUUUAAGAUGGGCAUGCGUGCCAUUAGCUAGUUGGUAGGGUAACGGCCUACCAAGGCUACGAUGGCUAGGGGUUCUGAGAGGAUGAUCCCCCACACUGGCACUGAGAUACGGGCCAGACUCCUACGGGAG